rnacentral:lncRNA from 1 species
GAUAAUAUCUCUAGAACAGAAAUCCCAAACAGGGUGAAACAUUUAUGUUAUUUCUAACAAAAACACAAGUCCGAGGACCGCUAUCAGAAGUAAAAGAAAACAACUUACCUUCUUUACAGUUAUCAUAUUUGACCCUUAUAAUGCCAUGGCUCUUGAAUAAGAGUGAGGUCAUAACAGCCCCCUCACAAGCAGCCGAUCCAAAAAGUGGAAGCCACUUGGGAAUGCUGGAAAUUAAUUUGAAUCUCCCUCAGACCUAUGACACUAUAAGGGCCUAAGGCUGGCAGACUUCCAUGCCCACCUACAAAGACUAGCACGAGAAGGUCUAGGGGCACUUCCAGAAUCCCGAUCCUUAUCGCCGAGCCCGAUUAGUUCAUGCCCCUUUGUGGGAGCAAUCACUGAAGCUAUUGGU